GAUGAACGCUGGCGGCGUGCCUAAUACAUGCAAGUCGAGCGAACGGACGAGAAGCUUGCUUCUCUGAUGUUAGCGGCGGACGGGUGAGUAACACGUGGAUAACCUACCUAUAAGACUGGGAUAACUUCGGGAAACCGUAGCUAAUACCGGAUAAUAUUUUGAACCGCAUGGUUCAAAAGUGAAAGACGGUCUUGCUGUCACUUAUAGAUGGAUCCGCGCUGCAUUAGCUAGUUGGUAAGGUAACGGCUUACCAAGGCAACGAUGCAUAGCCGACCUGAGAGGGUGAUCGCCCACACUGGAACUGAGACACGGUCCAGACUCCUACGGGAGGCAGCAGUAGGGAAUCUUCCGCAAUGGGCGAAAGCCUGACGGAGCAACGCCGCGUGAGUGAUGAAGGUCUUCGGAUCGUAAAACUCUGUUAUUAGGGAAGAACAUAUGUGUAAGUAACUGUGCACAUCUUGACGGUACCUAAUCAGAAAGCCACGGCUAACUACGUG
rnacentral:rRNA from 1 species